rnacentral:misc_RNA from 1 species
UCGAGUCUUCGACUCCCAAACCACUGUGAACCUACCUUCUUUUCGCUCCGCCGGGUCGGUCCCGGGGGGUCGGUCGCCGCGAGGCACCCGGCGGAGCCGCAGCAGAAAAUCUCCUAGCGAGCUUCUGAGUACGUCUCUAAAAGAGUCA